AGAGUUUGAUCAUGGCUCAGGACGAACGCUGGCGGCGCGCUUAACACAUGCAAGUCGAGCGAGAACCAGGCCUUCGGGCUUGGGGAAAGCGGCGAACGGAUGAGUAACACGUGGGCAACCCACCCUUGGUACUGGGAUAGCCCGGGGAAACCCGGAUUAAUACCGGAUGGCCCAACAGCUCUUCGGGGCGGUUGGAAAAGGUAGCUUCGGCCUCCGACCAAGGACGGGCCCGCGGCGGAUUAGCUUGUUGGUGGGGUAACGGCCUACCAAGGCGACGAUCCGUAGCUGGUCUGAGAGGACGAUCAGCCACACUGGGACUGAGACACGGCCCAGACUCCUACGGGAGGCAGCAGUGGGGAAUCUUGCGCAAUGGACGACAGUCUGACGCAGCGACGCCGCGUGGGGGAAGAAGGCUUUCGGGUUGUAAACCCCUUUCAGAAAGGACGAAGCCACUCGGGUGAAUAGCCCAGAGGGUGACGGUACUUUCAGAAGAAGCCCCGGCUAACUACGUGCCAGCAGCCGCGGUAAUACGUAGGGGGCAAGCGUUGUCCGGAUUUAUUGGGCGUAAAGAGCGUGUAGGCGGCCAUGUAGGUCCGUUGUGAAAACUCGAGGCUCAACCUCGAGACGCCGAUGGAAACCAUAUGGCUAGAGUCCGGAAGAGGAGAGUGGAAUUCCCGGUGUAGCGGUGAAAUGCGCAGAUAUCGGGAAGAACACCCGUGGCUAAAGGCGGCUCUCUAGUACGGUACUGACGCUGAGACGCGAAAGCGUGGGGAGCGAACAGGAUUAGAUACCCUGGUAGUCCACGCCGUAAACGAUGGGUGCUAGGUGUAGGGGGUGUCGACUCCCUCUGUGCCGAAGCUAACGCAUUAGCACCCCCGCCUGGGGAGUACGGUCGCAAGACUAAAACUCAAGGAAUUGACGGGGGCCCGCACAAGCAG
rnacentral:rRNA from 1 species